rnacentral:rRNA from 1 species
UAGGGAAUCUUCGGCAAUGGACGAAAGUCUGACCGAGCAACGCCGCGUGAGUGAAGAAGGUUUUCGGAUCGUAAAACUCUGUUGUUAGAGAAGAACAAGGACGUUAGUAACUGAACGUCCCCUGACGGUAUCUAACCAGAAAGCCACGGCUAACUACGUGCCAGCAGCCGCGGUAAUACGUAGGUGGCAAGCGUUGUCCGGAUUUAUUGGGCGUAAAGCGAGCGCAGGCGGUUUCUUAAGUCUGAUGUGAAAGCCCCCGGCUCAACCGGGGAGGGUCAUUGGAAACUGGGAGACUGGGGUGCAGAAGAGGAGAGUGGAAUUCCAUGUGUAGCGGUGAAAUGCGUAGAUAUAUGGAGGAACACCAGUGGCGAAGGCGGCUCUCUGGUCUGUAACUGACGCUGAGGCUCGAAAGCGUGGGGAGCAAACAGG